UUAUGUGUGUGUGUGUGUGUGUGUGUGUGUGUGUGUGUGUGUGUAUAUAUAUAUAAAUACAUAUAUAUAUAUAUAUAUUAUCAACUAUAC
rnacentral:miRNA from 1 species